GGGGAAUAUUGCACAAUGGGCGAAAGCCUGAUGCAGCGACGCCGCGUGAGGGAUGACGGCCUUCGGGUUGUAAACCUCUUUCAGCAGGGAAGAAGCGAAAGUGACGGUACCUGCAGAAGAAGCGCCGGCUAACUACGUGCCAGCAGCCGCGGUAAUACGUAGGGCGCAAGCGUUAUCCGGAAUUAUUGGGCGUAAAGAGCUCGUAGGCGGUUUGUCGCGUCUGCUGUGAAAGCCCGGGGCUCAACCCCGGGUCUGCAGUGGGUACGGGCAGACUAGAGUGAUGUAGGGGAGACUGGAAUUCCUGGUGUAGCGGUGAAAUGCGCAGAUAUCAGGAGGAACACCGAUGGCGAAGGCAGGUCUCUGGGCAUUAACUGACGCUGAGGAGCGAAAGCAUGGGGAGCGAACAGGAUUAGAUACCCUGGUAGUCCAUGCCGUAAACGUUGGGCACUAGGUGUGGGGGACAUUCCACGUUUUCCGCGCCGUAG
rnacentral:rRNA from 1 species